rnacentral:tRNA from 1 species
GCGCUCGUAGCUCAGCUGGAUAGAGCGACGGACUACGAAUCCGUAGGUCGCAGGUUCGAAUCCUGCCGGGCGCGCCA